rnacentral:rRNA from 1 species
CUAGCCCUAAACGAUGAUUGCUUGGUGUGUCGGGUACCCAAUCCCGCCGUGCCGAAGCUAACGCGAUAAGCAAUCCGCCUGGGGAGUACGGUCGCAAGACUGAAACUCAAAGGAAUUGACGGGGGCCCGCACAAGCGGUGGAGCAUGUGGUUCAAUUCGACGCAACGCGAAGAACCUUACCUGGGCUCGAAAUGUAGUGGACCGGGGUGGAAACAUCCCUUCCCGCAAGGGUCGCUAUAUAGGUGCUGCAUGGCUGUCGUCAGCUCGUGUCGUGAGAUGUUGGGUUAAGUCCCGCAACGAGCGCAACCCUUAUUGUCAGUUGCCAUCAUUCAGUUGGGCACUCUGGCGAAACCUCCUCGGAUAACGGGGAGGAAGGUGGGGAUGACGUCAAGUCCUCAUGGCCUUUAUGUCCAGGGCUACACACGUGCUACAAUGGUCGGUACAAACCGUCGCAAACCCGUGAGGGGGAGCUAAUCGGAAAAAGCCGACCUCAGUUCGGAUUGGAGUCUGCAACUCGACUCCAUGAAGCUGGAAUCGCUAGUAAUCGCGGAUCAGAACGCCGCGGUGAAUACGUUCCCGGGCCUUGUACUCACCGCCCGUCGGACCAGGUCGAA